UGAGGAAUAUUGCGCAAUGGAGGGAACUCUGACGCAGCCAUGCCGCGUGCAGGAUGACGGCCCUACGGGUUGUAAACUGCUUUUAUACAGGAAGAAUUUUCCGCACGUGUGCGGGAUUGACGGUACUGUACGA
rnacentral:rRNA from 1 species